AUUCUUGGAGAAUGAUUAGUUCUGAAAACGAACGUUUCUUUGUCUCAUCAUUUUACCCUAUUAAUUCAGGUAAUUAGCUUUGCACACAACAGCAGCGUCCAGGCCUCCAGAGUACUCACCCUAUCGCCUGUUGUACGGACGGGAGCUGCUUACUGAGGGACCAUCCCUGACCUCAUCAACCCCACUGACAUAAACAAUUAGACAGGACCUAGGGGUUCUGCCUAACACCCAGACAUGGAUCCACCUGAUGUCCAUUACCAACCACCCUCCAACUUUUCAUUACAUCAGCUACUAUUAUUGUCAUUAUCUGCUAAGAAAGAGCAAGACAACUAUCAUACUGGGCACAUCAUGUGAGAUGCACAGAUUAGCUAAAAACACUAGCACUGCAAACACUCAGAACAAAAAGGGCAGCAGCGCCUGGACAUUGCAGUUUCCCUCUUCGAGUCCACCUUCCAAGACUGACUACCUGUUGAAAACAAGUGACAGGCAGAACCUCCCAUCCACACCCACCUCCUCUCUAUUCCACACACCAGAAUUCAGUAUUUCAGUCUGAUUGCCAUGGGAGUAUAAAAAAUCUGAAAGUAAAUUGACACACGUACCAGAAAAAAAUCUACGUUUAUGUAUUUAAAUCUAAAAUAUUGUCAGAUUGGUUUUCACAGCUGUUUAAUAAGGUGUUUAUUAUUGUAAAUUGUAACGUAUCCCUUGAUGGUAUUUGUUCGGUCAACAUUAUUAAUUGUUGUAUCAUAAGACAUACGAUAGAUAUAUAUUCAACCACAAGAAUGUACUUUUUAAGUCAUAAUAGAGGACUACUGAAAAAAUGAUUUCAGUGUUGAUAAUGGAAGGCCUGUUUAAAAUGAAAACAUGUCAGCCAGACAAGCCAGUGUAUGAAUCAAUUGUAUUUGCAUAUGAAUGGAGUGGACAUUAGCUGACUUUGUACACAAUGUACGGGGUGGGUGAGGCAUUUAAAUGAUGUAAUUUUUUUGCCUGAUGCCUGUUCAUCCAUAAAAAGCAGAAGAUGGUAAAUAACAUGAAUCGCAAUGGUUAGCCUAUGCAAAUUAAUAGGAAUACAUUUAGCCUAAUUGGUAACAAAUGACGUGUGGCAAAGUCAGGAUCCUAGUCAGGCUUUUGUUUGUCAAAUCCAGAUUAAAUAUAGGUCAUCGUGUGUAGGCGAUUGUGGGCUAAAUCAAUGACAAACAGCUGAAAUGUUCAGCCUUCGUAAUGAUCUGUGAUCAAAACAGGCUGGGGUGUUUCGGUUCCAUUUAGUCUAAGGAUAUGUGUAAGAACACAACUGCACUAAAAUUAAUAGCCUGAUUCAAUGGGAUUCUCCUGAAUAAUACAUGUUUUUAUCUGUUAAGCUGUUUGGUCUAUGCAUAGACCCAUACCAACGAUUUGGUAUUUUGCGGUAGGCAUAGCUCUAAAUUGCAGAGUAUUUAAUAAACCAACCACAUUUUCCUGUGAUGUUUAGGCUGAGCAAGACCUUCGAUAGGCUAGUAGACUAUAUGGAAAUAAUUGUGGUUAAUCAUUGUUACUGCCUUGAUCGCUUUAUAUAAUCUGGACCUUUGCUUUUCCUAUGGCUAAGCAAACGAGUAGUAGCAUAUGCUUUUUGCCCAUCUCUAUAACAAGGGUUAGGCCAACAGUAAAUCCUCACAAACCCCUCAAUUCGAAACCCUGCUUUAAACCAUAAAACAUCUCCACAGAAAUGUAUAGCCUAAGGAUUGCAUGGUGACAGUGAUUGUGUCUGUUAAUCUGGUAAACUGGGAAGUGGGGGAAAAAACGAGAUGAAAUCAUGACAUCAGUGAUUUUCAGGUUAGAGAAAGAUGUCAGAGUUUCUGAAUUGGAAUUCCGAGUUGGAUGACCUUUCAAAACAAACAAAAAGAAUCCCAGGCUGAGCUCGUUUUUCCCCCCAGAGUUCCCAGUUGUCUUGAACGCACUGAAGUCGGAGAUUACCGACUUCCGAGUUGUUUUGAAUGCGCCUCUAGAGACCUAGGCUACCUCUUAUUUCCCAACAAAGAAGCCCUUGUGUCUGUAUUGAUGUGAGAAAUAGGCAUAUCUACACAGUAAUGGUGGCUGGCUGCGAUAUCAACUAGCCUCAUAUUUUUUUUACUAAAGUGAUAGGUCUAUUUUAGAUAAAUCGACAAAUGAAAUUGAUUACA